GCCGAACGCGAGUAGGAUUGCAGAAGCACCUGAAGGGCUGAUGUGGUUGUGGCUGAGGUGAAGCUCGUGCACCGGUGCAGGCUGCAAAAGGAGCAGC
rnacentral:SRP_RNA from 11 species